CCAGGUAUAAAACGACGCGCACACUCGCGCGACCACACAGUAAAAAAGUGUGCGUUGGAAAGAAAAGUCAAAAUUCCCGUUUAAGUGCAGCUACAGUCAAGUCAAAGUCGCAAACAUGUGCAAGGCUGUUGUAGAUUGUAAUGAAAGUGUGAAGGAUUGGAAGAGUGUGAGAGGAGGAGACGCUGAGAAACGGCCUUCGAAUCGAGAGUGGUGUGAGUCAUCCAAGCAAAAGCCACCAGGAAGAGCCCUUGGCCCCAGGAGCACACUCGUUUCCUGCUCCUCGCACGUUAAUGGCAACGAUGAGGAGGAACAAGGAACACAAACAAUGCGUCGCCACUGAAUGAAUCCGAAUCCGAUACCGAAUAGCCUGCGGGCUGGUAAAGAAGAAUCGUUAUUGAGUAACUGAGUGAGUCUCCACGUCUGUCCGAGUCACCCCCACCACUCUACGCAAACCAGCCGAUGGCCGAUUCUGCACAGAGAUCGCCCGGAGCACGGAGCAGCAGCAGCAAACACCACCGAGUCUCCUCUGCAAGGCAACCGUCCAAUUAACCUUGAGCCAUUGGACAGAACAUUGGGGACAAGGCGGAAUGCGCGCGGCAGCAGCUCCAGCUCGCAAAUCAGCUUACAUGCGUUUGAAGCUCUCGUCCACGAUCUUCCACCAAACAACCACCACCACCUAUUCUUCUGCAUUGAACGCUUCGCAGCUGCUGACCACCACCACCCACCCAUCCACACAGAUACACACGGUAUUUGGUAUAUCAGCUGCGAACAAAAUAUUGCUUUUUGAACAGAUUUGCAGCGAACAGAGCACCGGAUCGUCGAGAUUGCAUCAUUCUACGUUUCUGCGGUUUUGGAUUUUCUUCGAGGAGCUGAGCUCAUCGU